GACGAACGCUGGCGGCGUGCUUAACACAUGCAAGUCGAACGGACAGGCGCGGCUUUUGUUGGGUGCUCGAGUGGCGAACGGGUGAGUAACACGUGAGUAACAUGCACUUGUCUUUGUGAUAACUUCAGGAAAAUGCGGCUAAUACCGGAUAUGAGAUAUUGCUGCAUGGUGUGGGUUGGAAAGUUUCGGCGGUGGUGGCUGGACUCGCGGCUUAUCAGCUUGUUGGGGAGGUAGUGGCUUUCAAAGGCUUUGACGGGUAGGCUGCCUGAGAGGUUGAACGGCGACAUUGGGACUGAGAUACGGACCAGACUCGUACGGGAGGCAGCAGUCGGGAAUAUGGCACAAUGGGCGGAAGCGUGAUGCAGCAACGCCCGGUGCGGGAUGCCGGCCUUCGGGUUGUAAACCGCUUUCGCAGGUGACGAAGCGUGAGUGACGGUAAUGGGUAAAGAAGCACCGGCUAACUACGUG
rnacentral:rRNA from 1 species